GGCUAGUAAAAUUAUCACGGGUAUCCUCUCCUCUAAAGCUAAGGAACACAUCAUACUUUUGUUUUCGAGCCAUGGAGGAAGAUGCCAUAAUGGACUGUUACAAUAUACUGGUGACCAAAAAAUCACUUCAAGUUGGAAUUCAGCAAAGGCUCCCUUGUCUCCUGGGAAACUUGAUUUACAGUGAAAAGAUCAUAAAGGCAACAUUUUUUUUUUUUUUUGCUUCGAUCAGGUAAUAGCGCAAACAAGAAAGAGAGAAAGAUAAU
rnacentral:misc_RNA from 1 species